GAUGAAGAAUGCAGCGAAAUGCGAUAAGUGAUGUGAAUUGCAGAAUUCAGUGAAUCAUCGAAUCUUUGAACGCACAUUGCGCCCGCCAGUAUUCUGGCGGGCAUGCCUGUUCGAACGUCAUUUCAACCCUCAGGCCCCCAGUGCCUGGUGUUGGGGAUCGGCCCAGCCUUCCUGUAAGGCCGCCGGCCCCGAAAUCUAGUGGCGGUCUCGCUGUAGUCCUCCUCUGCGUAGUAGCACAACCUCGCAGUUGGAACGCGGCGGUGGCCAUGCCGUUAAACACCCCACUUCUGAAAGUUGACCUCGGAUCAGGUAGGAAUACCCGCUGAACUUAAGCAUAUCAAUAAGCGGAGGA
rnacentral:misc_RNA from 1 species